UUUGAUAUGAUGUUAAAUAUUACCGCCCCAGUCUGAUUUUCUAUGACUGAUUGGUUGUUACCGCUGAUCAUU